rnacentral:misc_RNA from 1 species
UCCGGUUCAUCACCGGCAGUCUCUUUAGAGUGCUCGACAUUACUCGCUAGCAACUAAAGAUAAGGGUUGCGCUCGUUACGGGACUUAACCCAACAUCUCACAACACGAGCUGACGACAGCCAUGCAGCACCUGUCUUACGGUUCCUUUCGGCACUCCCGCUGCUAAGCAGGAUUCCGUAGAUGUCAAGGGUAGGUAAGGUUUUUCGCGUUGCAUCGAAUUAAACCACAUGCUCCACCGCUUGUGCGGGCCCCCGUCAAUUCAUUUAAGUUUUAACCUUGCGGCCGUACUUCCCAGGCGGAGAACUUAUCGCGUUAGCUUCGAUACCGAACAGCCAAGCUGCCCGACAUCCAGUCCUCAUCGUUUACAGCGUGGACUAC